rnacentral:lncRNA from 1 species
UAUACGAGCAGCACUUCAAUCAAUUAAUCCUUACUCAAAUUUAUAUUUUUCCUCCUAUCAUGAAACCAUCUUCAAUUAACUCACAUCUUAAUACAUUUUUACUAAAAUUACAUAUAUCCAUUACUUACGUAAUUCCUUAAAUUAUAUCACCGGCAACUUAAUUAUGAUGUCACAUGUCUACUUCAGCCUUUCUAAAUAAUUUCCACCCAAAUCCAUCUUAUAUUUUCACACAUAAUCCACAUAUAUGGCAGCAACAAUCAUUCUCACUUUCACUCGAUUAUUU